rnacentral:rRNA from 1 species
GCCGGCGCAGUCCUCGGGAAUCCCCCGCUCAACGGGUGGGCGUCCGGUGGAAACUGCGUGGCUUGGGACCGGAAGGCGCGACGGGUACGUCCGGGGUAGGAGUGAAAUCCCGUAAUCCUGGACGGACCGCCGAUGGCGAAAGCACGUCGCGAGGACGGAUCCGACAGUGAGGGACGAAAGCCAGGGUCUCGAACCGGAUUAGAUACCCGGGUAGUCCUGGCCGUAAACAAUGUCUGUUAGGUGUGGCUCCCACUACGAGUGGGUGCUGUGCCGUAGGGAAGCCGCUAAACAGACCGCCUGGGAAGUACGUCCGCAAGGAUGAAACUUAAAGGAAUUGGCGGGGGAGCACUACAACCGGAGGAGCCUGCGGUUUAAUUGGACUCAACGCCGGACAUCUCACCAGCAUCGACUGUAGUAAUGACGAUCAGGUUGAUGACCUUAUCCGAGCUUCAGAGAGGAGGUGCAUGGCCGCCGUCAGCUCGUACCGUGAGGCGUCCUGUUAAGUCAGGCAACGAGCGAGACCCGCACUCCUAAUUGCCAGCAGUACCCUUUGGGUAGCUGGGUACAUUAGGGGGACUGCCGCUGCUAAAGCGGAGGAAGGAACGGGCAACGGUAGGUCAGUAUGCCCCGAAUGGGCUGGGCAACACGCGGGCUACAAUGGUCGAGACAAUGGGAAGCCACUCCGAGAGGAGGCGCUAAUCUCCUAAACUCGAUCGUAGUUCGGAUUGAGGGCUGAAACUCGCCCUCAUGAAGCUGGAUUCGGUAGUAAUCGCGUGUCAGCAGCGCGCGGUGAAUACGUCCCUGCUCCUUGCAC